GAUGAACGCUGGCGGCGUGCCUAAUACAUGCAAGUCGAGCGAAUGGAUUAAGAGCUUGCUCUUAUGAAGUUAGCGGCGGACGGGUGAGUAACACGUGGGUAACCUGCCCAUAAGACUGGGAUAACUCCGGGAAACCGGGGCUAAUACCGGAUAACAUUUUGAACCGCAUGGUUCGAAAUGGAAAGGCGGCUUCGGCUGUCACUUAUGGAUGGACCCGCGUCGCAUUAGCUAGUUGGUGAGGUAGCGGCUCACCAAGGCAACGAUGCGUAGCCGACCUGAGAGGGUGAUCGGCCACACUGGGACUGAGACACGGCCCAGACUCCUACGGGAGGCAGCAGUAGGGAAUCUUCCGCAAUGGACGAAAGUCUGACGGAGCAACGCCGCGUGAGUGAUGAAGGCUUUCGGGUCGUAAAACUCUGUUGUUAGGGAAGAACAAGUGCUAGUUGAAUAAGCUGACACCUUGACGGUACCUAACCAGAAAGCCACGGCUAACUACGUGCCAGCAGCCGCAGUAA
rnacentral:rRNA from 1 species